rnacentral:tRNA from 2 species
UCCUCGGUAGCUCAGUGGUAGAGCAUUCGGCUGUUAACCGAAAUGUCGUAGGUUCAAAUCCUACCCGGGGAGCCA